UAACUGUAACUUAUAAAAUAAUAUAUAAUACUAUAACUUAUAAAGUAGUAUAUUAUGCAUUUCAAGCCACAACAUAGCACGCAUGAUUAAAUUGCAAUGUAUAUCACAAUCCAAAAUCAAACCAUAUACAUUGAUACAAGCAAAUCAACUUCACCAUGACUUAACAGAGGCAAUAAUUUUAACAAAGAGGGAAAAUGAAAUAAACACCAACAUCCCAAAAAUCAUUUACAGUAAUGUUAAAAUCUAUAUGAAGUCUCAUAAAUUUCACGCAUGCGACAUAAUACCGGUGUCGAAUGUUCAUCACCAUAGAUCCGAUUCCGACACCGAAAUGUAAGCAACAACAGCACAUAAACAAUUUGCAGUAUUACAAAGUGUGGUGGCUAUACUCAAACUUUAAAUAUAUAUACACAGUGAAAAUCAAGCACCACCAAAUUUCAAAUGCUGAUGUAAAAAAAACGCAGGUACCUAACAACAUUGAAAUAUACAAGAAAUUGGUGUUUAACCUCGUCUGUUCGCAGCUCCCACUUGAUAUCGCACGAGACCGACGGUGUGAAUUCAACCCACGAAACCACAAUGCCUUUA
rnacentral:lncRNA from 1 species